rnacentral:rRNA from 1 species
AGCGUACACGGUGGAUGCCCUGGCAGUCAGAGGCGAUGAAGGACGUGCUAAUCUGCGAAAAGCGUCGGUAAGGUGAUAUGAACCGUUACAGCCGGCGAUGUCCGAAUGGGGAAACCCAGUGCAAUUCGUUGCACUAUCGUUAACUGAAUACAUAGGUUAACGAGGCGAACCGGGGGAACUGAAACAUCUAAGUACCCCGAGGAAAAGAAAUCAACCGAGAUUCCCCCAGUAGCGGCGAGCGAACGGGGAGCAGCCCAGAGUCUGAAUCAGCUUGUGUGUUAGUGGAACGGUCUGGAAAGUCCGACGGUACAGGGUGAUAGUCCCGUACACCAAAAUGCACAGGUUGUGAACUCGAAGAGUAGGGCGGGACACGUGGUAUCCUGUCUGAAUAUGGGGGGACCAUCCUCCAAGGCUAAAUACUCCUGACUGACCGAUAGUGAACCAGUACCGUGAGGGAAAGGCGAAAAGAACCCCGGCGAGGGGAGUGAAAAAGAACCUGAAACCGUGUACGUACAAGCAGUGGGAGCACCUUCGGGUGUGACUGCGUACCUUUUGUAUAAUGGGUCAGCGACUUAUAUUCUGUAGCAAGGUUAACCGUAUAGGGGAGCCGCAGGGAAACCGAGUCUUAACUGGGCGUUAAGUUGCAGGGUAUAGACCCGAAACCCGGUGAUCUAGCCAUGGGCAGGUUGAAGGUUGGGUAACACUAACUGGAGGACCGAACCGACUAAUGUUGAAAAAUUAGCGGAUGACUUGUGGCUGGGGGUGAAAGGCCAAUCAAACCGGGAGAUAGCUGGUUCUCCCCGAAAGCUAUUUAGGUAGCGCCUCGUGAACUCAUCUUCGGGGGUAGAGCACUGUUUCGGCUAGGGGGUCAUCCCGACUUACCAACCCGAUGCAAACUACGAAUACCGAAGAAUGUUAUCACGGGAGACACACGGCGGGUGCUAACGUCCGUCGUGAAGAGGGAAACAACCCAGACCGCCAGCUAAGGUCCCAAAGUCAUGGUUAAGUGGGAAACGAUGUGGGAAGGCACAGACAGCCAGGAUGUUGGCUUAGAAGCAGCCAUCAUUUAAAGAAAGCGUAAUAGCUCACUGGUCGAGUCGGCCUGCGCGGAAGAUGUAACGGGGCUAAACCAUGCACCGAAGCUGCGGCAGCGACGCUUAUGCGUUGUUGGGUAGGGGAGCGUUCUGUAAGCCGUUGAAGGUGGCCUGUGAGGGUUGCUGGAGGUAUCAGAAGUGCGAAUGCUGACAUAAGUAACGAUAAAGCGGGUGAAAAGCCCGCUCGCCGGAAGACCAAGGGUUCCUGUCCAACGUUAAUCGGGGCAGGGUGAGUCGACCCCUAAGGCGAGGCCGAAAGGCGUAGUCGAUGGGAAACAGGUUAAUAUUCCUGUACUUGGUGUUACUGCGAAGGGGGGACGGAGAAGGCUAUGUUAGCCGGGCGACGGUUGUCCCGGUUUAAGCAUGUAGGCGGAGGUUCCAGGUAAAUCCGGUACCUUUUAACGCUGAGGUGUGAUGACGAGGCACUACGGUGCUGAAGUAACAAAUGCCCUGCUUCCAGGAAAAGCCUCUAAGCAUCAGGUAACAUUAAAUCGUACCCCAAACCGACACAGGUGGUCAGGUAGAGAAUACCAAGGCGCUUGAGAGAACUCGGGUGAAGGAACUAGGCAAAAUGGUGCCGUAACUUCGGGAGAAGGCACGCUGGUGUGUAGGUGAAGUCCCUGCGGAUGGAGCUGAGACCAGUCGAAGAUACCAGCUGGCUGCAACUGUUUAUUAAAAACACAGCACUGUGCAAACACGAAAGUGGACGUAUACGGUGUGACGCCUGCCCGGUGCCGGAAGGUUAAUUGAUGGGGUUAUCCGUAAGGAGAAGCUCUUGAUCGAAGCCCCGGUAAACGGCGGCCGUAACUAUAACGGUCCUAAGGUAGCGAAAUUCCUUGUCGGGUAAGUUCCGACCUGCACGAAUGGCGUAAUGAUGGCCAGGCUGUCUCCACCCGAGACUCAGUGAAAUUGAACUCGCUGUGAAGAUGCAGUGUACCCGCGGCAAGACGGAAAGACCCCGUGAACCUUUACUAUAGCUUGACACUGAACAUUGAGCCUUGAUGUGUAGGAUAGGUGGGAGGCUUUGAAGCGUGGACGCCAGUCUGCGUGGAGCCAACCUUGAAAUACCACCCUUUAAUGUUUGAUGUUCUAACGUUGGCCCGUAAUCCGGGUUGCGGACAGUGUCUGGUGGGUAGUUUGACUGGGGCGGUCUCCUCCCAAAGAGUAACGGAGGAGCACGAAGGUUAGCUAAUCCUGGUCGGACAUCAGGAGGUUAGUGCAAUGGCAUAAGCUAGCUUGACUGCGAGCGUGACGGCGCGAGCAGGUGCGAAAGCAGGUCAUAGUGAUCCGGUGGUUCUGAAUGGAAGGGCCAUCGCUCAACGGAUAAAAGGUACUCCGGGGAUAACAGGCUGAUACCGCCCAAGAGUUCAUAUCGACGGCGGUGUUUGGCACCUCGAUGUCGGCUCAUCACAUCCUGGGGCUGAAGUAGGUCCCAAGGGUAUGGCUGUUCGCCAUUUAAAGUGGUACGCGAGCUGGGUUUAGAACGUCGUGAGACAGUUCGGUCCCUAUCUGCCGUGGGCGCUGGAGAAUUGAGGGGGGCUGCUCCUAGUACGAGAGGACCGGAGUGGACGCAUCACUGGUGUUCGGGUUGUCAUGCCAAUGGCACUGCCCGGUAGCUAAAUGCGGAAGAGAUAAGUGCUGAAAGCAUCUAAGCACGAAACUUGCCCCGAGAUGAGUUCU